AUAUUGCUGGGAUCAAAAUGGAAAGAAAGACUAUCUCCUUCGAAUAGUAGCCCUUGAUUUAACUCCUCCAUGAUGUCCCAAUUUUACCCAUUGGCCAUGUCAUCCAGAACUCAUCAUUAAGUCUGCAAAACACAACAAAUUGUCCAUUGUCAAACCAUAAAUGCAUAACAAUGCAGUCACCUACAAAAAUGCAUAAAUAAACAAUACAUUCCAUAAUUAUAUCACCAUACCAGUUCAAGCACAAGUUCAUCAAUCAUAACAAUCCCAAUGGCAAAACAAUACUCAAUAAUUAGUAAAAAACCAAUAAUUUAUAGUAGUACAUGGAAAAACAAUAGUUGUACAUCAAAAAAUAAUGAGCAAAUACAGCAAAAUCACCAACAAGAUAAACCACACCAAAAUCAGCAAAUACACACAUAAAGUGGGCCACACUUGAAUUUUACAGUGGAAAUAUCAAAAUUCUACAAGCAACAAUUCCUGAGUUUUCAUCUUUUGGGGACCAUCCAAGAUACACCUUAGUACACACUCACUCCACCAAAACGGAUUCUCAAUAAAAAUCCCACAAAAUUAGGGGAUUCACUCCUCUUAACUAACAGAAUGGAGGAACUCACCUCACACGAUUCCUCACACAUUUCAGAUUUCACACACUUGAACAAUGCCUUUCACACGUAUUUUGUUUCCUCAUCACUCAUUAUUCAUUCCAUAUAAAAAGAGGACACUAUUCUAUUUAGAGGGGGAUAAAAAAAUACUACUAAAAUACUGCAAAAAUAUUCUCUCAUCACCUACACUAAAGCCCGCUUCCAUUAACCUCUCAAACUCAUUAUCAGAGUUUGAGCAAGGUUGAGCUACACAAAUCCAUCCCAAAGCAUCCAAACAAGGUUCAAAAAAAUGGAGAAGAGUAAACCGUAAAGAAGAGAGAAAAAAGACUUAUCUGAGUGUCGCCGAAGAGAGCAUCACCAGACUAGCUCCGGUUAGCUAAGCCUCUUCACAAAAUUGUUGUACCUUCGUGUUCUCCAUGAUUAAUUGAGUAGAAACCCUCUAUAUAUUUUUUUAUUUGGUUGAAAGUGACGAUUUAUUUAAAAUUCUAGGUUUUUACUGUAGAUCGCGAUUCGUUAUUUUUGAGUGGUCAUUUGUGGAAUUCAUUGCUGGAUUUGGGUUUAGAAGGGCUGUUUAGGUGGGGUAAAGAGUUGGGGUUUGGAUUUUGGGUAACUCAUGGCGGCGUAGCCAUGGUGUUCUUGGGCGCCACCGUGGAUCUUCAUACUCUCCGCCGUGGAGUUCUUACUCCACCACCAUGUUUGAUUUGUUUGGAUGAAGUUUUUGUUAUUGGUUGUGUUAGGAUAAAGAGAGACUGAGGGACCCGAGAGAGAGUGAAAAUGGGAAUAUGAGCAUUAGGUUGAGUCCCACUUGGGAUUCCCUUUCCAUUAUUUUAGCCAGCAUGGGACAAGUGGCUGCCGUUUUGGCUUCAUCAUAGCCACUUGUCCAUGGUUGACUUGGUGGUUGACAAGAGGAUCUGGCGUGUGCAACUCCGUGGAACUUCCUGUGUAUCCUCGUCUAGAAUCGUAUGAUCUUGUUGACUAUUCCAAACAGGUACAUCGUGUGGUUUUGGUUGAGUCAAGAUCAUUGACUCUCAUCCGGGCUUGCUGCCUUUGGGCCAAUGCUCAAAUUGCUAUAUGAACCCCCCCCUGUGGCUACUAAUGACACCCUUGCUUGUGCUGGAUGUUGAUUUUUGGCCCAUUGUUUUGUCUUCCUCUUUUAUUUUGUUGUUUUCUACUUUUAUUUUGUUUUUAUUAUUUGUAUUUAUUUUAUAGGAUUAUUUAGUCCAAGAUUAAUUAGUUUUUAUAAUAAAUUUUAAGUAACUACUUGAUUUAAUUAGUUUAGUUUAAUUAGUCUUUUUUUAAUUUGUAUUAAAUUAAUUGAUAAUUUUUUAUUUAAAUUUUUUGAGUUAUUAUCUUAUGCUUGAAAGAUCCAUUCACUUGUGCAACUUCUCUUUUCAUCUAAACUAUGUAUUGUGUUUUAUUUACAUGAUGAUAUCCAAUUGUUAAUUACGCCAAACAUUAUAAUCACGUUAAACCAUUUAAAAAAGUAAAUAUUUCUCGAUUAAAUAUCGAGUCCAUUUUCAAUACCCCUGUAAGUCGAUUGCUUUUAGCAUCGUCAUCAACCUCACAUGGAUUACUCUUGGGCUUUCUUACAAUGAGACCUAUUGAACUUUAAUUAAUUAAUCAGACGGUUAAUCCACCCAACAUACCUUUAAUUCACCUCAAACGCAAAUUCAAAACCUCGAUUCAACGUCGAGUAUUUUAUUAAACCAAAACUAAUGAAUUCUAAUUAUACCUAAACAUAAUUUAGAAGUGAAAAUGGGAUGGUUUCGAGCCUUUGACUCCUCUCCUCGAUUGUUUGAGUACGAGUUCCCUUACUUGAUUAGUCAAACAAUUAUCAUUUCCCUUAAAAAAAUUCUAAACCAAUUAAAUCAAAUCAUUUUCAUAAUAAUCUAAAUGAAAAGGGAGAUAGUCUAGAGCCUUCGAAUCCUCUCCUCAAAUGCGUGGAUAUAUAAUUGCCUUACUCAGUCAUUCGAGCAUUUGUCGUUUAUCUAAAAAUAUCAACCAUACAUAAAUCUAUUUUCAUAUUAACCUAGAUGAAAAAGAAAGUGGUAUAUAUCCUUCUAUUCCCUUUCCCGAAUACUUGGAUAAGAGUUGUCUUACUCGAUCAUCAGAAUAUUCGUCAUCCAUUUAAAAUACCUUAACUAUUAUCAAACCCUUUUGUAAUUAAUAAUGAAAAGAGAGAUGGUCUAGAGUCUUUGAUUUCUCUCAUCGACUAUUUAGAUAUGAGUUGCCUUACUCGACUAUCCGAGUAGUCGUCAUCCAAAUAAAACUUCUAACAUAUUAAUCCAACUUGUCACCCCGUGUGAUCAAAACUCUUUUCAUAAAGAAAAUUGUUUAAUCCUUUCUAAUGCACAUAACAAAUUAGUGCUUAAGUCUCCGUUGGGAGUAGACAAGGCAGUGUUUAGCCUUUAGAACACGAUCUAAACAAUUGUUCAUUAAAAGACAUUAACAAACCGUAGUUCCCCAAACUACGAAUGCUCUGAUUUCCUUAUUGUAUCAUAAGGACACGUAGGCACAAGAUUGCUAGAUCUUAGCGAGCACACUAAUAAAAAGCCCCACACAUUCCCCCUUUUGAGGUUUCCUUUAUUUUCUAUUUUCAAUCUUUUAUUCACUCGAAGAAAACGAAUAAUAUUAGCUAACAUUCAAACCGUAAAUUAUACUAAAAGGUUCCCAUUGAGUACAUCGGACGUGAGGGGUGUUAAUACCUUCCCCUUGCGUAACUGCCUCCCGAACCCGAAUUUGGAUGCGAUGACCAUUAUUCUAUUUUUAAAGGUUUUACCGAUAUUUUCCUAUUCCUUCCUUGGGAUAAAUAAAGUUCGGUGGCAACUCUGUUUGAAUCAUUUUUCUGCGACCAUCGCGAGGGAUCGUAUUUUUCGAGAUGCGACAGCUGACGACUCUGUUGGGGACUAUUGCUUCAAGCUAGAGAGAGUCAAACCUAACUUAGUUCAAUUUGCGUUUGAGUGUUAACAUUGUUUUUUUGUUUUCUUUAUUAUGUUAUUGUUGUCUUUUUGUGAUUUCUUGAUUGAUUCUUAUAUUGCUAUUUGGGGGAUCUCUGAUUAGGCACUGUGUGAGAUAGGCUCCCUACCAGAGUCUGAAAAAAAUCAUAGGAUUAAGAUGGUGGUUAUGUAGUAGAGACCCAUAAGGAGUCUUCCUUGUUGGCACGAUUGGAAGAUCAUGCCUAGAGUAGAUUCUCUUGAGAUAUUAUUAUCUGAUGAGCCUUCGUCACGACAAUAAUGUUUUCAAGUUGGAUCAAUGACUCUAGGGACCUUUUAACCCGUGCGGUCCAUAGUGGCUAUGUAGUAUUAACCUAUGAGACUUUGGACUUGUUGGGUUAAUACGAAAGCCCCAAUCAGAUGAGAUCCCUUUGACGUAUUACUACCUUACAGUAAUAUUUCCAACUUCAAUCCAUGACUCUGAGAACCUUUUUAGAACCUUGGGCUAAAUGGUUAUGUACUAGAGGCCCACAAGGAUCCUUCCUUGAUAGGACGGUAAGAAAACCUCAUCUAGACGAGAUUAUUUUGAGGAUAUUAUUGUCCGACGAGCCUUCGUCAUGGCGAUGAUAUUCUCAAAAAGGAUCCAUGACUAUGGGAACCUACCAACUUUAGUGCCUACCCACGAGGUUCCAAUAAUCAAAGAUACCUAUCAUCAUAACCAAUGUUGUAAAAUCACCUAUACUUGUGAUCCUAAAAUAAUGCAUAAAACAUUGCAUACUCAUGACAUAACAUUCAUAUUUUUUGUUUCCAGGGAAUCUAAGAAUCAUAAGUUGCAAG
rnacentral:lncRNA from 1 species